AAUACUUUAAGAUUUACAAUAAAAAACAUUCUGACAGAGUCCAUGAUGAAUUAUUUCCAGUCUUUCACCAGACUGCUUAAGCUCACCUAUAAACUACGAAAUGUAUAAAUAAAUAAUUACAGCCAAAGCAGGUAACAAAGUGUCUAACCUAUAUUCCACAGGUGCAUACCAUGGCUACGAAUAAACUAUCCAAUCUAACCACAGAAGCUGAGCAUUUGGUUUGGGGUUAAUCCACAUCACAUGACUCACCAUUGAGAAAGCGGCUCUCACCAUGCUUAAUGGGCACAGCACCUCUGCAAACAAAUCCUUCCCUGGCUAAUCAUUCCCUCUGAGAGGUUUCCUCAGUAAAGAGAUUAGAACUAUCUCUUGUCAUUUCCAACUUUUAAAAAAUUGACCUUUUUGGAAAUCUACCACCACCAACUAAUUCUUGACAGACUUGUAGAGAAUGACCCUCAAAGAAAUAUCAUUCGAGACACAUAUUCAAGCAGACUGGCCAUGGUGGCUCAUGCCUGCAGUCCCAGCAGUUUGGGAGGCUGAGGUGAGCUGAGUGCUUGAAUCCAGGAGUCUUGAGACCAGCCUGGGUAACAUGGCAAAACCGUGUCCCUACAAAAAAAAUACAAAAAAUUAGCCAGGUAUGUUGGUGCACAACUGCGGUCCCAGCUAUGCAGAAAGAAGACAGUCUGGCUCCAGGAGGUCAAGGGUACAGUAAGCCAUGAUUGCACCACUACACUCCAGCCGGGGGUAACAGCGGGAGACCCUGUCUCGGCAAGGGAAGGGGAAGGGGAAGGGGAGGGACAUAUUCAAGUUUAGAUGAUGUGAUAGUAUAAAAGUGAUGUCCUGAAAAGCUCUUUUUUUAACAUGUCCAAUCCUAUUUUCUCACUAUCUUCAGGACAAAAUUAGGGGAAGAUUCUUCUCUAGUCCAUGUAUAUGUAUACGUACAUAUAAAAACUUAACUCUGCAAGUCUUUUUAACUUUUGGCUGGGCGCGGUGGCUCACACCUGUAAUCCCAACACCUUGGGGGGCCGAGGCGGGCAGAUCACCUGAGGUCAGGAGUUCAAGACCAGCCUGGCCAACAUGGUGGAAACCUGUCUCUAAUAAACAUACAAAAAUUAGGCCAGGCACGGUGGCUCACGUCUGUAAUCCCAGCACUUUGGGAGGCCGAGGCAGGUGGAUUAUCUUAGGUCAGGAGUUUGAGACCAGCCUGGCCAACAUGGUGAAACCCCGUCUCUACUAAAAAUACAAAAAUUAGCUGGGCGUGGUGGCAGGCGCCUGUAAUCCCAGCUACUCGGGAGGCUGAGGCAGGAAAAUUGCUUGAACACAGGAGGCGGGGGUUGCAGUGAGCCGAGAUUAUGCCAUUGCACUCCAGCCUGGGCGACAAGAGUGAAACUCCGUCUCAAAAACAAAACAAAACAAAACCAAAAAUUAGCCGGGCAUGGUGGCGGGUGCCUGUAAUCCUAGCUACUCGCUACUUGGGAGGCUGAGGCAGGAGAAUCACUUGAACGGGAGGCGGAGGUUGCAGUGAAGUGAGAUAGCGCCACUGCACUCCAGCCUGGGCAACAAGAGCAAAACUCCAUCUCAAAAAAAAAAAAAAUAAUAAUAAUAAUAAUUAAUUAAAUUAAAUUAAAAAUACGAUUAAUGCCUGUAAUCCCAGCACUUUGGGAGGCCAAGGUGGGCGGAUCACUUGAGCUCAGGAGUUCAAGAACAGCCUGGGCAACAUGGUAUAACACCAUCUCUACAAAAUAUUAGCUAGGCAUGGUACCAUGUGCCUGUGGUCCUAUUUACUCAGAAGGCUGAGGUGGAAGGAUCGCUUGAGCCCAGGAGCUGGAGUUGCAGUGAGUAGAGAUCGUACACUGCACCCCAGCCUGAGGGACAAGAGUGAAACUCCAUCUCAAAAAACAAAAAAACCCUAAUAAAAAGAUUGAGUGCCUAAUCUGCAAAAGACCACCACCAAAUAGUGACUGCCUACCCUCUCUUAAGGUCUCCAUGCAGUUCCCAUGCGUAACACUCACUACUUUUGGAGUUUCUAAUCAAGGAAAGGGUGCAGUUUGAAAUGGCAAUCCCAAUACCCUGAAAUUGUGAUCACAUCUCCUGAGGGACAAGGACCCCUCUGCCCGUGUGAGAACCAUCCCUUAUAUAAAGUGAUUCUUCACAGAAAUCCCUCAAGUCCUGCGCUGCUCUAAUGCAUGUAAGGUGUGGAGAGCACUAUUCACAGCACCAUUCCAGCUCCAAGGCCACCACUGAACUACCCACAUGACUCAAGCUCUUUCUGUCUCUAGCGCUUUACCAGCAAAACCAGCGCAACCUGUAUGCAUGGUAGCUCAGAGGGACACUGUGACAAUCAACAAAGAAUGGCAAAACAAAAAGCAGCUCAUCUAGGGAAGCAGUACUGCAUGUGGCUAAGAGCUGGGGUCACCAUGUCGUCACUAGGCCUCGGUCCUAUGGAGGCUACUACCUACACGCUUACAGCUUUAAAAGAGACUCUUAGCACACAGUGAGGCAAUGAUGUAUUUUUCUACCAAUAAUUUUAUUGAGAAGGGUAGAGAGGGGGACUGAUUCACUCCUAGCCUUCUACUGUUCAGGCUUUAAAACUAGCAAACCAGAGCCAAGGCUGAGAAAACCUAGGCAUCAUAAUCAUUACAGACUAGCAAAGGGACAAUUUAGCUUUCAACCCUAUGACUGCAAAAUAUGGUAAUGGGGAAGUCCAUUGGAGAACCCCCCCUCCCAAAAAAACAAGCAAGCUAAUCUUUGCAGGCUAGUAUCUCUUUCCCUAACCAGAAUAAAAUCAAAGAGCUGAGUGAAAGCAAAGGCCUGGCAGCAUGCAUUCAAAUAAUCCAAAACCCUGUCUUCUAAUCUUGAGCUCACAAUCUGACGUGUCUCCAAAAUCCUUUUUGAAUAAACAAUCACUCUUUAAAGUACAGCAAACACUCAAAUGCAUUGUAUAGAGAAUCUGAUUUAAAUAAAACAAUUCAAACGGCUGUUUACUGAGUGGUUACCAAGGUAGUAUCAUGAAAGCAGCAAGCUGCCUGGGAGUCAGGAGGGCCUCCCCUGGAGUCUUUAGGUCAGGUUCCUGAACCUGGGUUUAAGUGUUUAAAACGAAAGUUUUCUUGAUUGUCAAAUGGAGUCAACUCUAACAGUACCUCCUCAGGAAUCUACCCUAAAUAUAUAUUUUUAUUUUUAUAAAUAACCAAUCCAUCUGUUUCUUAUUCACCCACAAAAUUACUCAGGAAGGGGCCAGGUGUGGUAGCUCACGCCUAUAAUCCCAGCACUUUGGGAGGCCAAGACGGGCGGAUAACGACGUCAGGAGAUCGAGACCAUCCUGGCUAACAGAGUGAAACCCCAUCUCUACUAAAAAAAAAUAUUAAAAAAAUUAGCCAGGCAUGGUGGCGGGCGCCUGUAGUCCCAGCUACUCGUGAGGCUGAGGCAGGAGAAUGGCGUGAACCCGGGAAGCGGUUCACGGAGCUUGCAGUGAGCUGAGAUCGCGCCACUGCACUCCAGCCUGGGCAACAGAGCGAGACUCCAUCUCAAAAAAAAAAAAAAAUUACUCAGGAAGGGGAGCAGGUUAAGUCAUUUAUUUUAUAUAUGAUACUACAUUUAAAAAAAUUUUAAAAACCUAUACAUUCCCCUAAAAUGAACUUUUUUUUCCCUGACUAUACCCUAACUCUGAAUCUUUGCUGACUUUAAUUGGAACAGACUUCUCAUCAAAAUUAAGCAAAUCCUAUUCUCACACCCAGGAGAGAAGUAACUGCAAAACAAGAUUUCCAACCUGGGUUCCCAGAUCAAGCUUGCUAGCUCACUGCAUUUGUGGUCUACUGCACACUCCACUCCUGGUAGAGAAAGAAUUCCAAAGAACCAAGUUUCUAUUUUUCUCCUGUCUCUCAAAGGCUUUCAAGAUAAAAAUCCAAAUUCACUGCCCAUCAGCUGGCUGCCAGUGCUCCAACCUUAAAACUCUAUAGCAACUUCAGUGUUCUUGUUUGUUUGUUUGUUUGAAGAAGGAGUAUCGCUCUGUCGCCCAGGCUGGAGUGCAGUGGCCCAAUCUCGGCUCACUGCAAGCUCUGCCUCCCAGGUUCACGCCAUUCUCCUGCCUCAGCCUCCCCAGUGGCUGAGACUACAGGAGCCCGGCACCACGCCCGGCUAAUUUUUUGUAUUUUUAGUAGAGACGGGGUUUCACCGUGUUAGCCAGGAUGGUCUCUAUCUCCUGACCUCGUGAUCUGCCCGCCUCGGCCUCCCAAAGUGCUGAGAUUACAGGCGUGAGCCGCCGGGCCCAGCCUGUUUUGUUUUUUCUUUUUUUUGGUAGAGACAGGGUUUCACCAUGUUGCCCAGGCUGGUCUUGAACUCCUGAGCUCAAAUAGUCCUCUCACCUCAGCCUCCCAAAGUGCUGGGAUUACAGGUGUGAGCCACUACACCCAGCACAACUUCAGUUCUCGAUAAAGCAUACACUCAAAUCUCUGCUCUUUGGAUACUCUCUUCCCUGCCCCUCCCCAACCAUCUUCUUCUCCUCCACUUCCACACGUCUUCCUGUCAUGGAGGAACAGGUCCCUGCCCCCAGCAGGUGGCGGAGGUCACCUCCUCCAUUCUUUCUACCAAGCAACUCCACUAACUUCUAUCACAGCAUAAUUACCUUAUGUUAUGGUAAUUACAUAACAUACAUAACAUACAAAUAUGUUAAUGGCCUCUCCACUCUGCAUGGAGUGCAAAAGUAUAGGCUUCUAAAGAGAUUUCCUUAAGACUUGUAAUGAAAAAAAAAAAAAAAAGUUUUCCACAGGCCCUAUCAAAAAUAUCCAAGUGUUGCCAGCUUCCUAAACUAUCCUCUAUGAAGCUAGUACUAGACUUUGAGACUUUGAGCCUCUUUCUCACAACGGCUAUUUUAUUCUACAAUUUUCAGGUUCCAACAGUCCACAUGUAUUUGUAAAAUGACUCAGUCACAAAAUGACUAUUUGAAAAUGGACAGGGGAAAAGGGAAAAUUUGUAAUCUAUUAAUUUACCCUAUCAUCUAGCAAGGUUCUACCAGCACUCCUUCCUGCAUACGGUAAAUAAAUUUAUCUUAAAGCCCUCCAAAUACCACCCUCAGAAAUCCUACCAGCUUCCGUAGAUAGACGCUGAAAAAGUCAAAAUUAACACAUUCCUUCCCAGAGUUUUCAAUAGUAAAAUGCUGGGAAUAGAGGAAGUUUUUCUCAUUUCUAAGGGCCAGUAACCAUGGUAUUUUAUUUCUCCCUACUUAAGGAGGGAAAGAAUCUGGAAUUUUCUCCGGAUUUAUUAUCUACCAAUAUAGCUAGCACUUAGGGAACGUUCUUAACCUAAGCGCUCAACUAGGCAGGGCGCAGUAGCUCAUGCCUGUAACUUCAGCACUUUGGAAGGCCUAGGCAGGAGGAUGGCUUGAACCCAGGAGUUUCAGACCAGCCUGGGCAACACCCGGAGACCUCCUCUCUUCAAAAAAUUAGCCGGGCAUGGUGGUGCCGCGCCUGUGAUCCCAGCUACUCAGGAGGCUGAGAUGGAAGGAUCGAUUGAGCCCAGGAGUUCGAGGCUGCAGUGAUCUGUGAUCGUGCCACUGCAUCCCAGCUUGGGUAACAGAGGGAGACCCUGUCUCAAAGAAAAAAAUUAAAUAUAUAAGUGCUCAACCGCAUUCACUUUUAAUCUCCAUAAACUAAGCUUCACACAUUACAAUAUGAGGAAGGCAAAGUCACAGACAGAAAGGAAAGAAAACGGAGGGAGUUAGUAUUUAAUAGCUACACUUUCUGUUUCCGAUGAUGAAAAAGUUCUGGACAUGAAGCAGUGACGGUUACAGCACACUGAGUCAGUAUACUCAAUGCCACUGAAUUAUACGCUUAAAAAAUGGUUAAAAUGGCAAAGUCUACGUUAUGUCUAUUUUACCACAAUGAAAUAAAUGUCUGGGAAAUUCAAUGUGUACCCAGGCUUCCCCUUCCUUCCCGGCCGCUGAUCUUGGAGCCAAAACCUCUCUGUCUCUCUUAAGUGUCUGUAAUCAGAAUGAAUGAGUUUCACCGGGGCACAAGUCGAUGCUUCCUCCUUUAAAGAAACUUUUAAAAGCCAAGGAGUCAAAGAGCCCCAAGCAGGACUCGAAAAGCUGAUGAAGUCUGGAAGUAAAUGAACCCGCCUCCUGACAGAACAGCUUCCCCGAAACACGGGAAAAAGGGGAUUCCUCCCCCGACUUCGUAUCUGUCUGCUUCCGAGGGUGAACGCUAAGCAGCAGAUCCCAUCUCUCCACUAAUACCUGCGGCGCACCCGGGGAGGAGGAGCGGGAAACGGCGAGGGACUUGAGCCAGGGCCAGAGCGUGGGGCGAG
rnacentral:lncRNA from 1 species